rnacentral:rRNA from 1 species
UACGAAGGGGGCUAGCGUUGCUCGGAUUGACUGGGCGUAAAGGGCGCGUGAGGCUGUUCAUAGUCAGACGUGAAAUUCCUGGGCUUAACCUGGGGGCUGCGUUUGAUACAUGCAGGCUUGAGUUCGGAAGAGGGUCGUGGAAUUCCCAGUGUAGAGGUGAAAUUCGUAGAUAUUGGGAAGAACACCGGUGGCGAAGGCGGCGACCUGGUCCGAUACUGACGCUGAGGCGCGAAAGCGUGGGGAGCAAACAGG